GGACUACUGGGGUUUCUAAUCCCAUUCGCUCCCCUGGCUUUCGUUCCUCAGUGUCAGUUACAGCCCAGCAAGCCGCUUACGCCACUGGUGUUCUUCCCAAUAUCUACGCAUUUCACCGCUACACUGGGAAUUCCGCUUGCCUCUACUGCACUCCAGUCUGCCAGUAUCCAAUGCACCUCCGAAGUUGGGCCUCGGGAUUUAACAUCGGACUUGACAAACCACCUACGAACUCUUUACGCCCAAUAAAUCCGGACAACGCUCGCAUCCUACGUCUUACCGCGGCUGCUGGCAC
rnacentral:rRNA from 1 species